CGGCGAGUGAAGCGGCAACAGCUCAAAUUUGAAAUCUGGCCCCCAGGGCCCGAGUUGUAAUUUGCAGAGGAUGCUUUUGGCGCGGUGCCUUCCGAGUUCCCUGGAACGGGACGCCAUAGAGGGUGAGAGCCCCGUCUGGUCGGACGCCUAGCCUGUGUAAAGCUCCUUCGACGAGUCGAGUAGUUUGGGAAUGCUGCUCUAAAUGGGAGGUAUAUGUCUUCUAAAGCUAAAUACCGGCCAGAGACCGAUAGCGCACAAGUAGAGUGAUCGAAAGAUGAAAAGCACUUUGAAAAGAGGGUUAAAUAGUACGUGAAAUUGUUGAAAGGGAAGCGCUUGUGACCAGACUUGGGCCCGGUGGAUCAUCCAGCGUUCUCGCUGGUGCACUCCGCCGGGUUCAGGCCAGCAUCAGUUCGCCGCGGGGGAAAAAGGCUUCGGGAACGUGGCUCCUACGGGAGUGUUAUAGCCCGUUGCAUAAUACCCUGGGGCGGACUGAGGUUCGCGCUCCGCAAGGAUGCUGGCGUAAUGGUCAUCAGCGACCCGUCUUGAAAACACGGACCAAGGAGUCGUCUUCGUAUGCGAGUGUUCGGGUGUAAAACCCCUACGCGUAAUGAAAGUUGAACCGCCAGGUGAGAGCUUCGGCGCAUCAUCGACCGAUCCUGAUGUUUCUCGGAUGGGAUUUUGAAGUAAAAAGCCUACGGGGNCCGGACCGAAAGAAG
rnacentral:rRNA from 1 species